rnacentral:rRNA from 1 species
UAGUGGCGGACGGGUGAGUAACGCGUGGGUAACCUCGCCUCACACAGGGGGAGUAACAGUUGGAAACGACUGUUAAUACGCAUAAGCGCACAGUACCGCAUGGUACAGUGUGAAAACUCCGGUGGUGUGAGAUGGACCCGCGUCUGAUUAGCUAGUUGGUGAGGUAACGGCCCACCAAGGCGACGAUCAGUAGCCCGGCCUGAGAGGGUGUACGGCCACAUUGGGACUGAGACACGGCCCAAACUCCUACGGGAGGCAGCAGUGGGGAAUAUUGCACAAUGGGGGAAACCCUGAUGCAGCGACGCCGCGUGAGUGAUGAAGUAUCUCGGUAUGUAAAGCUCUAUCAGCAGGGAAGAUAAUGACGGUACCUGACUAAGAAGCACCGGCUAAAUGCGUGCCAGCAGCUGC